GGUCACGCAGGCGCAGCCCCUACCCAGCGGGGCGUGUCGCGAGCCGCCCCCUCACCCCCGUCGGGGUCACCAAAACUCCCGGAGGCCUUUCCCCGGGGCGGCCGGGGGCCUGUUACCAGCAGUCGCCGCCCUGCCUUGACUGCCUGGGUGAAUCAGGUGCUAACCCCGGAGCCUGGUCUUGCGGCUCCCCUGCCUGGGUUUUCUGAGUGCGACCGAUUUAGGCAGGGUGGGGGGAUUCCUGCGGCCCUGCCCCACCCACGAAGACCGAGAAGGCUCGCCGGUGGAGAAAGGUGGGCUCGGUGACUCAUCUCUGGGAUGACCUAACCUCCCCAACCUGGCAGAGCAGCUGUCCGGACUCAGCCCUCAUACCGUGACUGUGGACGUCUAGUGUGCCCCCUUCUGAUUAUAAACUGGCUCUGAGCCGUCCUGGAAGACAUGGGUGUCCAGUGGGCUGCUUGAAGCCAUGCAGCGCAGCAGGACUGUGGGGAUGGGCCCUUCGAUGAUCUCGCCCUUUGAAAGACCACCAAUUUCCAGCCCUCCGAGCAGUAUUCUGAUUAUGAACUUGUUUUCCUUCUUCUAUUUAAGAGGUUUGGGGACCUUAGAUCUCAGAGCACAGGUAUCCGGAGAGUGUGGAGUCAGAAAAACAGCAAGAGGAAUGAAUAUCCAGGAAGCAAGUCAUCAAGCGGAGCCCACACACAGCAGGAAGCUGGGGCAGGAGGCAAGAUAAAGCUGUACCUCCUGGAGGGCCAAGUGUCUGCAUAACUGUCAUUCUUCUGGCUUGCAGCAUGGAGGACCACCGGCCAACCCGGGCUUCCCAUGAGCAUCUUGUUCUGAGGAAGGAGGCUCAAGGGGCACAGCUGCCCAUUGGUUCCUCCUUCUGAAUUCCAGCAAAUGAGGAGGAGGAGUCGAAUCAGGAGUGGGUAACAGUCAUUCCCCCUUCAGCAUAAAAGCGGAGGUAGGAGCAGUAUAGACCGCUUAACAGGCAUCUUCAGGCGACUUGCCCAAGCUAAGGUGAGUACCUGGCUGGUUCAGAGCCAGGGGCAGAGCUGGGCACAGCUGAAGCUGAUGGGAAUGUGAAAAGAAGCUGUCUGUACUGCUCACCAACUGGCUCACGAGUUUGCUCUGCCUUCAUUAAUGAAGUAAAAAUUACAUACAGUAAAGUGUAAGAUAUUGCUGACUUUCUCUAUGUAGACAUUCACAUAACCUCCGCAGAUUUGAAAUAUGGAACAUUUUCUAGUCUGCUUUCAAAAAACCUGCCCCACACUUUCUGCUGACCUGAGGAAUAUCCUAGAAAUUGUAUUUCCAUAAAAUUUACUCUCCAUGCUUACUUUAACAAAUGUAAUCUUUAAAUUGUACCCUCUUUAUCAAUGUGAGCAAUCGUUUUAAUUUUUAAGCAUUGAAAAAUUAAUUUUUAAGUUUAAAAAAAUUCAACUUAUCAAGAGGUAGUAUUCUUUCAAAGAAAUGAUUGUCUGUCCUAGGCACUGGCUUCCUUCCUCUUAGAGAGAAAUUAGAAGUUUUCUUUCCCCUUUGGUGACAGCAUCAGAUUUAGAAUUACCUCACCAGUGGAAGGUUUCUCAUCAUUAGUCAACCAGUGACAGUCAGAGCAAAAGAAAUACAUUUUCAAAAGGAAAGCACUUCUCCAGGAAGUGUUUUGUUUGUUUGUUUAGGACACAUUCAGUGUUUUAGAGGAAAACACGUUGGCUUUGUGAAUGGGUAUAUUGUCUUUCCGUAAUGCAAGUGGAAUUCUCAUGCUGAAACAUUUCUCAUUUCUUUAAAUGGCCACACUGGAGGCAUAUGGAAGUUCCUGUGCCAGGGAUUGACUCCAAGCUCCAGCUGCGAUGUGUGCCAGAUCCUUUAACCCACCGUACCUGGCUGGGGAUCAAACCCACACCUCUGCAGUAAACCAAGCCACUUCAGUCAGAUUCUUAACCCACUGCACCACAGCGGGAACUCUGACGGUAGGUGUUCUUUGCUUCCUUCCUCAGUUUCCUUGGGGCUCUCACCACCUUUUGCUGUGGUUGUUGACGACUGUGAUAGCCUUGGUUUACUUAUAUGGCAGCGGCAAUAUUUUAUUUCUCUCUCUGUGUAUGUAUACACACAUACACAUAUGUAUAUAUAUAUAUACACACAUAUGUAGAGAGAAAGAGAGACUUUUUAAUGUUACGACCAAUAGAAGAUGAGCUACAAAUGGGCUUCCCGUCUCUCUUGGCCAUUCUUUUUCAGCGUCCGUAUUUUUUUUUUAAUAUAAUGAUUUUUAUUUUUUUUCGUUAUAGCUUGUUUACAGUGUUCUGUACAGCAUGGUGACUCAGUUACACAUACAUGUAUACAUUCUUUUUUCUCACAUUAUGCUCCAUCAUAAGUGACCAGAUAUAGUUCCUAAUGCUACACAGCAGGAUCUCACUGCUAAUCCAUUCCACAGGCCCUAAAAAAGACCAAAAAAAAAAAAAAUUGUAUGAAGGUGUCCAUGUUUUUAAAGGGAUGUGAGGGGCUUUAACAAAGAUCUCUAAGUCACUGCCAUCUCAAAGAAGAUGUCAUUCUCUUUCCCCUUCCUUCUUGUUUGAUGCCUUCUUGUAGAAAAUUCGCACUCAUCCCAAGAGUCGUGAUCAGCCUUUUUUUCCAUCACAUGGAUUGAUAGUGAUUCUGUGUGCACUGUGUCUAGUGUCAAGUUUCACUGCCUUCUAGGAACUUCGAUUUCAGAAUUGUGUGGCUUGCUCUCUUGGGCUAAUAUUCUCUCUUUAAACUUUAUUUUAUCCUGGUAAAGUUGAUGCACAGUGUUUGUGUUAGCAUCACGUUUCCAAUGAAGUGAGCUAACAUGCUUUUCGUUUCACUUUAAAGCCAAAAGUGGGGUUCUCUUGGUCGUUCCCUAUAAUUUCACUCUUAACUGAUAAUACUCAUGUGUGCAUUUAUUCAAAAAGCAUGUAUUUGGGGCCGGAGCCCAGUAUGGAGACAUGAGUCAGCCAGCAUUGAUCUUGGGCCUCUGUCAGAGGUGGAAGCAGAAUGCCUUUCCCAGGCAUGUCUGCCCAAUCCCAUCCUGUGGUGGAAGAACUGGAGGCCAUACUUGUGUAUAGCCUUCCUAGCUUCCCUCCAGCUUGGCCACAGGGGAUUGGACUGGGGGGGGGGGAGUGGCUGACCUGAAAUGGGCCAAUCACAGUGCUUUCCUAGGACUUCAGAAUUGAGACAGGAAAAGAGUUUGUCUCCCUCCAUAAAAAAACAGUGUGAUUGUCAAAGCUGUUUUCUGCCAAAUGGCAGCUGCUGGAAAAAUGAAGACUGAAGCAGGCUUACAGGAAAAUUGGAGAUAAAGACGGAGAGAGAUGGCCUCCUGGUUUCCCGUCACACUGAUGCUAAUGUCUCCAGUCUUUUGCUGAGUCCCAGUUAUAUUUCUGCUUAUGAAUUCAUGAAACACUCCAUACCCCUUACAAUAAAUCUCCUCUUUUGCU
ensembl:lncRNA